GGUCGAGUGAUCUUCCCACCUCAGCCCCUCAAGCAGCUAGGACCACAGGUGUACGCCACCACACCUGGAUAACUUUUUAUUUAUUUAUUAUUUAUUUAUUUAUUUAUUUAUUUAUUUAUUUAUUUAUUUAGAGAUGGAGUUUCGCUGUGUCACACUGGAGGAUCCUAACAGGAUUGGGGGUUGGUUGGGUGUAACCAAGGUAUCUGCCAAAGGGAGAGUACCAAGGAAAGCGGAGGCACCUCCUCCCUGGCUGUCCUUCACCCCCUCUCCCCUCCUUGUUCUCUGGGAGUGGCUGGCGAGCAGCGGCCUCCCCGCAGGGCCAGGCAGGUGGGCCAGAGCUUUUGGUUUGCUGAGGUUUGUCAGAUUUUCCAGCUCAGGGCCCAGCCAGCUGGCAGGAAGCAGGACAGAGGUCACUUGAAUUCAGACCACAUGUCCCUGUUAAAUACAUUAGCUUUUAAAUCAAUCUUUGUUCAAAGUCCAGUGAGUUGCAAGCUUAAUGC
rnacentral:lncRNA from 1 species